rnacentral:rRNA from 1 species
CCUACGGGUGGCAGCAGUCGAGAAUCAUUCACAAUGGGGGAAACCCUGAUGGUGCGACGCCGCGUGGGGGAAUAAAGGUCUUCGGAUUGUAAACCCCUGUCAUGUGGGAGCAAAUUAAAAAGAUAGUACCACAAGAGGAAGAGACGGCUAACUCUGUGCCAGCAGCCGCGGUAAUACAGAGGUCUCAAGCGUUGUUCGGAGUCACUGGGCGUAACGCGUGCGUAGGCUGUUUCGUAAGUCGUGUGUGAAAGGCGCGGGCUCAACCCGCGGACGGCACAUGAUACUGCGAGACUAGAGUAAUGGAGGGGGAACUGGAAUUCUCGGUGUAGCAGUGAAAUGCGUAGAGAUCGAGAGGAACACUCGUGGCGAAGGCGGGUUCCUGGACAUUAACUGACGCUGAGGCACGAAGGCCAGGGGAGCGAAAGGGAUUAGAUACCCUGGUAGUC